GAGUAAUAUAUCGGAACGUACCCAAGAGUGGGGGAUAACGUAGCGAAAGUUACGCUAAUACCGCAUACGAUCUAAGGAUGAAAGUGGGGGAUCGCAAGACCUCAUGCUCCUGGAGCGGCCGAUAUCUGAUUAGCUAGUUGGUGAGGUAAAGGCUCACCAAGGCGACGAUCAGUAGCUGGUCUGAGAGGACGACCAGCCACACUGGAACUGAGACACGGUCCAGACUCCUACGGGAGGCAGCAGUGGGGAAUUUUGGACAAUGGGCGCAAGCCUGAUCCAGCAAUGCCGCGUGAGUGAAGAAGGCCUUCGGGUUGUAAAGCUCUUUUGUCAGGGAAGAAACGGCUGAGGUUAAUACCUUCGGCUAAUGACGGUACCUGAAGAAUAAGCACCGGCUAACUACGUGCCAGCAGCCGCGGUAAUACGUAGGGUGCAAGCGUUAAUCGGAAUUACUGGGCGUAAAGCGUGCGCAGGCGGUUUUGUAAGUCUGACGUGAAAGCCCCGGGCUCAACCUGGGAAUUGCGUUGGAGACUGCAAGGCUUGAAUCUGGCAGAGGGGGGUAGAAUUCCACGUGUAGCAGUGAAAUGCGUAGAGAUGUGGAGGAACACCGAUGGCGAAGGCAGCCCCCUGGGUCAAGAUUGACGCUCAUGCACGAAAGCGUGGGGAGCAAACAGGAUUAGAUACCCUGGUAGUCCACGCCCUAAACGAUGUCUACUAGUUGUCGGGUCUUAAUUGACUUGGUAACGCAGCUAACGCGUGAAGUAGACCGCCUGGGGAGUACGGUCGCAAGAUUAAAACUCAAAGGAAUUGACGGGGACCCGCACAAGCGGUGGAUGAUGUGGAUUAAUUCGAUGCAACGCGAAAAACCUUACCUACCCUUGACAUGUCAGGAAUCUUCGAGAGAUUGAAGAGUGCCCGAAAGGGAACCUGAACACAGGUGCUGCAUGGCUGUCGUCAGCUCGUGUCGUGAGAUGUUGGGUUAAGUCCCGCAACGAGCGCAACCCUUGUCAUUAGUUGCUACAUUCAGUUGAGCACUCUAAUGAGACUGCCGGUGACAAACCGGAGGAAGGUGGGGAUGACGUCAAGUCCUCAUGGCCCUUAUGGGUAGGGCUUCACACGUCAUACAAUGGUACAUACAGAGGGCCGCCAACCCGCGAGGGGGAGCUAAUCCCAGAAAGUGUAUCGUAGUCCGGAUCGCAGUCUGCAACUCGACUGCGUGAAGUUGGAAUCGCUAGUAAUCGCGGAUCAGCAUGUCGCGGUGAAUACGUUCCCGGGUCUUGUACACACCGCCCGUCACACCAUGGG
rnacentral:rRNA from 1 species